rnacentral:rRNA from 1 species
GGGUUGUGAGGUUAAGCGACUAAGCGUACACGGUGGAUGCCCUGGCAGUCAGAGGCGAUGAAGGACGUGCUAAUCUGCGAUAAGCGUCGGUAAGGUGAUAUGAACCGUUAUAACCGGCGAUUUCCGAAUGGGGAAACCCAGUGUGAUUCGUCACACUAUCAUUAACUGAAUCCAUAGGUUAAUGAGGCGAACCGGGGGAACUGAAACAUCUAAGUACCCCGAGGAAAAGAAAUCAACCGAGAUUCCCCCAGUAGCGGCGAGCGAACGGGGAGCAGCCCAGAGCCUGAAUCAGUGUGUGUGUUAGUGGAAGCGUCUGGAAAGGCGCGCGAUACAGGGUGACAGCCCCGUACACAAAAAUGCACAUGCUGUGAGCUCGAUGAGUAGGGCGGGACACGUGGUAUCCUGUCUGAAUAUGGGGGGACCAUCCUCCAAGGCUAAAUACUCCUGACUGACCGAUAGUGAACCAGUACCGUGAGGGAAAGGCGAAAAGAACCCCGGCGAGGGGAGUGAAAAAGAACCUGAAACCGUGUACGUACAAGCAGUGGGAGCACAGAGCAAUCUGUGUGACUGCGUACCUUUUGUAUAAUGGGUCAGCGACUUAUAUUCUGUAGCAAGGUUAACCGAAUAGGGGAGCCGAAGGGAAACCGAGUCUUAACUGGGCGUUAAGUUGCAGGGUAUAGACCCGAAACCCGGUGAUCUAGCCAUGGGCAGGUUGAAGGUUGGGUAACACUAACUGGAGGACCGAACCGACUAAUGUUGAAAAAUUAGCGGAUGACUUGUGGCUGGGGGUGAAAGGCCAAUCAAACCGGGAGAUAGCUGGUUCUCCCCGAAAGCUAUUUAGGUAGCGCCUCGUGAAUUCAUCUCCGGGGGUAGAGCACUGUUUCGGCAAGGGGGUCAUCCCGACUUACCAACCCGAUGCAAACUGCGAAUACCGGAGAAUGUUAUCACGGGAGACACACGGCGGGUGCUAACGUCCGUCGUGAAGAGGGAAACAACCCAGACCGCCAGCUAAGGUCCCAAAGUCAUGGUUAAGUGGGAAACGAUGUGGGAAGGCCCAGACAGCCAGGAUGUUGGCUUAGAAGCAGCCAUCAUUUAAAGAAAGCGUAAUAGCUCACUGGUCGAGUCGGCCUGCGCGGAAGAUGUAACGGGGCUAAACCAUGCACCGAAGCUGCGGCAGCGACGCUUAUGCGUUGUUGGGUAGGGGAGCGUUCUGUAAGCCUGUGAAGGUGUACUGUGAGGUAUGCUGGAGGUAUCAGAAGUGCGAAUGCUGACAUAAGUAACGAUAAAGCGGGUGAAAAGCCCGCUCGCCGGAAGACCAAGGGUUCCUGUCCAACGUUAAUCGGGGCAGGGUGAGUCGACCCCUAAGGCGAGGCCGAAAGGCGUAGUCGAUGGGAAACAGGUUAAUAUUCCUGUACUUGGUGUUACUGCGAAGGGGGGACGGAGAAGGCUAUGUUGGCCGGGCGACGGUUGUCCCGGUUUAAGCGUGUAGGCUGGUUUUCCAGGCAAAUCCGGAAAAUCAAGGCUGAGGCGUGAUGACGAGGCACUACGGUGCUGAAGCAACAAAUGCCCUGCUUCCAGGAAAAGCCUCUAAGCAUCAGGUAACAUCAAAUCGUACCCCAAACCGACACAGGUGGUCAGGUAGAGAAUACCAAGGCGCUUGAGAGAACUCGGGUGAAGGAACUAGGCAAAAUGGUGCCGUAACUUCGGGAGAAGGCACGCUGAUAUGUAGGUGAAGUCCCUCGCGGAUGGAGCUGAAAUCAGUCGAAGAUACCAGCUGGCUGCAACUGUUUAUUAAAAACACAGCACUGUGCAAACACGAAAGUGGACGUAUACGGUGUGACGCCUGCCCGGUGCCGGAAGGUUAAUUGAUGGGGUCAGCGCAAGCGAAGCUCUUGAUCGAAGCCCCGGUAAACGGCGGCCGUAACUAUAACGGUCCUAAGGUAGCGAAAUUCCUUGUCGGGUAAGUUCCGACCUGCACGAAUGGCGUAAUGAUGGCCAGGCUGUCUCCACCCGAGACUCAGUGAAAUUGAACUCGCUGUGAAGAUGCAGUGUACCCGCGGCAAGACGGAAAGACCCCGUGAACCUUUACUAUAGCUUGACACUGAACAUUGAGCCUUGAUGUGUAGGAUAGGUGGGAGGCUUUGAAGUGUGGACGCCAGUCUGCAUGGAGCCGACCUUGAAAUACCACCCUUUAAUGUUUGAUGUUCUAACGUUGACCCGUAAUCCGGGUUGCGGACAGUGUCUGGUGGGUAGUUUGACUGGGGCGGUCUCCUCCUAAAGAGUAACGGAGGAGCACGAAGGUUGGCUAAUCCUGGUCGGACAUCAGGAGGUUAGUGCAAUGGCAUAAGCCAGCUUGACUGCGAGCGUGACGGCGCGAGCAGGUGCGAAAGCAGGUCAUAGUGAUCCGGUGGUUCUGAAUGGAAGGGCCAUCGCUCAACGGAUAAAAGGUACUCCGGGGAUAACAGGCUGAUACCGCCCAAGAGUUCAUAUCGACGGCGGUGUUUGGCACCUCGAUGUCGGCUCAUCACAUCCUGGGGCUGAAGUAGGUCCCAAGGGUAUGGCUGUUCGCCAUUUAAAGUGGUACGCGAGCUGGGUUUAGAACGUCGUGAGACAGUUCGGUCCCUAUCUGCCGUGGGCGCUGGAGAACUGAGGGGGGCUGCUCCUAGUACGAGAGGACCGGAGUGGACGCAUCACUGGUGUUCGGGUUGUCAUGCCAAUGGCACUGCCCGGUAGCUAAAUGCGGAAGAGAUAAGUGCUGAAAGCAUCUAAGCACGAAACUUGCCCCGAGAUGAGUUCUCCCUGACUCCUUGAGAGUCCUGAAGGAACGUUGAAGACGACGACGUUGAUAGGCCGGGUGUGUAAGCGCAGCGAUGCGUUGAGCUAACCGGUACUAAUGAACCGUGAGGCUUAACCUUACAACGCCGAAGCUGUU